GGGAGCUUAGCUCAGCUGGUUAGAGCGCCUGCUUCACACGCAGGAGGUCGCAGGUUCGAGUCCUGUAGCGCCCACCA
rnacentral:tRNA from 1 species